UAUAUCAUUGUAGUGAUUGCUUAAACAUUGACGUUGUAUUGCGAUGCUUUUGUGUGAAUUAUGUAUUCCUAUGUGGUGUAUUGUAUAUAAAUGAAAAUAUGAUUCAUAACAUAUAACACAAUACAACUACUACCACAAUAUGAUUCACAAGUAUGUUGCACACCAACUUUUUAGUGUCUACAAGAUGUUAAGCAUACGAUGUUACAACACAAUA
rnacentral:lncRNA from 1 species